rnacentral:rRNA from 1 species
UACAGAGGGUGCAAGCGUUGUUCGGAAUUAUUGGGCGUAAAGGGCGCGUAGGCGGCCUUCUAAGUCGGACGUGAAAUCCCUCGGCUUAACCGAGGAACUGCGUCCGAUACUGAAAGGCUUGAAUCCGGGAGAGGGAUGUGGAAUUCCAGGUGUAGCGGUGAAAUGCGUAGAUAUCUGGAGGAACACCGGUGGCGAAGGCGGCAUCCUGGACCGGUAUUGACGCUGAGGCGCGAAAGCAUGGGGAGCGAACAGG